CUAGCCGGCGCGCUCGCCCACCUGCCUGCCGGCCGCCGGCGCAGAGUUCCCCGCGGUGACGAGGGUGGCGGGGGCGUGGAACACUGGUCCUUGCGCGAGCUGGCUCUCGGCGAGGGGCUCAAGAGGGUCUGUCCGGAGCUCCGUCGCCACAGCUGCAAGAGCAGACGAGUUGCGAAGAGGGUCAGGGCCCAGCGAGCGCCUCCUUCCCCGAGAGCGGGCGCGCGAGUCCCGGAGCGGCGGGCGGGCGCCGGGUAUUAAUUGUAGGGCCCCCGGGUGUCGGCCGCCGGGCGCUCUGAGUGGCUCGGACCGCGCGCCAGGCCAGCCGGGCCUGGGCGACCCACCCCCUUGGCGCGCACCCGCUCCUGCCGGGGAACGCGCGCGCGCGCGCGCGUCCGGCGGCUCCGGGCCCCAGGGCUAGCCGCGCUCCUGGGGCUCCAGACCUGCUGCCUCUCUGAGGCCGGAGGGGCGUCACUGACCUUAGAGACCAGGAACUGGAACUCCGAGUGUCCAGUCGAUCCAGGGAUAAAACCCAACAAGGUGUGCGAACUUUGUAGUCACAGGCGCUCCGAGCCGGCUGUCAAGGAGACCGUCCUGGCCCCUCCAGUCACAACUGUGAAAGUCACGUCACCCUCCGACCUGCGGGUCUAGACGAAAGACCUUUCCUUUCUCCGCCCGCCAACCCAAGUGGUUCUCAUACUUAACUUUCGCUGCUCAGAAUCCUCCGCCCACCUCCACCUGAGAUUUGUUGAAACACUUGUCGCGAAGCCCCGCCCCAUUUUCCGAUGCUUUACAUCUGCCAGGGCGGAGAACUUGGCUUUUCUAACAAGUUCCCAGGUGAUGCUGAGGCAGUUGCGAAGAUUAAACGAGUUAAUAAAGUUCGUGGAGUAGUUGGUAAUCUGUAAAGCAGUAGGUAAAUUUAGGUUUGUGAAAUCCACACUUGCUAUUCGUCUGUUUCACUAGCUUGCGUUGGCAUGUGAUUUCCAUCCAGCCCCUGCUGCUUUUCCUCUGAGUGUUAGACUCUUUCCCUCUUGAGUAGGAGGAACACCAUAACACCAAGUUAUGCACAGCAGCCCCCAUCAGGAGAAUGAAAGGCAGAUUCUUUACCAAGGUACCACCUGGGAAGCCCAUAAAAGAAUGAAAUGAUGACAUGGUCAGCAACAUGGAUGGACCAGGAGAUUAUCAUACCGAGUGAGCUCCUCAGGCCCUGUGCAGGACCUCAGGAGAAAUCAAUAGGCCAGCAUCUCUGUACUUGCAGUAACAAAGGAAACAGUUACUAUUUGUCAUCACCAACAG
ensembl:lncRNA